rnacentral:rRNA from 1 species
UACGUAGGGGGCAAGCGUUGUCCGGAAUCAUUGGGCGUAAAGAGCGCGUAGGCGGCCCUGUAAGUCCGCUGUGAAAGUCAAGGGCUCAACCCUUGAAUGCCGGUGGAUACUGCAGGGCUAGAGUCCGGAAGAGGCGAGUGGAAUUCCUGGUGUAGCGGUGAAAUGCGCAGAUAUCAGGAGGAACACCGAUGGCGAAGGCAGCUCGCUGGGACGGUACUGACACUGAGACGCGAAAGCGUGGGGAGCGAACAGG